UACAGAGGUCCCAAGCGUUGUUCGGAUUCACUGGGCGUAAAGGGUGCGUAGGCGGGUUCUUAAGUCAGAGGUGAAAUCCUGGAGCUCAACUCCAGAACUGCCUUUGAUACUGAGAGUCUUGAGUUCGGGAGAGGUGAGUGGAACUGCGAGUGUAGAGGUGAAAUUCGUAGAUAUUCGCAAGAACACCUGUGGCGAAGGCGGCUCACUGGCCCGAUACUGACGCUGAGGCACGAAAGCGUGGGGAGCAAACAGG
rnacentral:rRNA from 1 species